GACGGAGGGGGCAAGCGUUGUCCGGAAUUACUGGGCGUAAAGGGCGCGUAGGUGGCUUCGUGCGUCGGUGCUGAAAGCGCCGGGCUUAACCCGGCGAGGCGUGCCGAUACGACGAGGCUUGAGGCAGGGAGAGGGUAGCGGAAUUCCGGGUGUAGUGGUGAAAUGCGUAGAUAUCGGGAGGAACACCGGUGGCGAAGGCGGCCAUCUGGACCGCAACUGACGCUGAGGCGCGAAAGCGUGGGGAGCAAACAGGG
rnacentral:rRNA from 1 species